rnacentral:tRNA from 2 species
UCCCCGGUAGCUCAGCGGUAGAGCAGGAAGCUGUUAACUUCAAGGUCGCUGGUUCGAAUCCAGCCCGGGGAGCCA